GUCAAAAUGGCUGAGUAUAGGCGGUAAAUUGUAAAUUUACAUAUAGAUUUUUUCUUUUUGUUA
rnacentral:tRNA from 1 species